rnacentral:rRNA from 1 species
GCCAUGCAUGUCUAAGUAUAAGUAUUAUACAGCGAAACUGCGAAUGGCUCAUUAAAACAGUUAUGGUUUAUUUGAUAAUCGAAUUUUACAUGGAUAACCGUGGUAAUUCUAGAGCUAAUACAUGCUGGUGUGCCUGACUUUUCGGAAGGGCGGUAUUUAUUAGAUAACGAACCAAUAUUCCUCUGGUCUAUUGUGGUGAAUCAUAAUAACUGAUCGAAUCGCAAAGCCUUUGGCUGCGAUAUGUCAUUCAAGUUUCUGCCCCAUCAGCUUUCGAUGGCAGUGUAUUGGACUACCAUGGCUUUUACGGGUAACGGAGAAUUAGGGUUCGAUUCCGGAGAGGGAGCCUGAGAAACGGCUACCACAUCUAAGGAAGGCAGCAGGCGCGUAAAUUACCCAAUCCUGACUCAGGGAGGUAGUGACAAGAAAUAACGGACCGGCCUUUUAGGUUCGGGAUUGCAAUGAGCCGAAUUUACACCCCUUAGCGAGGACCCAUUGGAGGGCAAGUCUGGUGCCAGCAGCCGCGGUAAUUCCAGCUCCAAUAGCGUAUAUUAAAGUUGUUGCAGUUAAAAAGCUCGUAGUUGGAUUUCUGGGGAGGUGCCAAUGUCACCUUUGUGUUGCGCAGCGGCGCCUCUCCAUCCUUCUGUUAACGUCGUUGGACCUUAAUCAGUCUGCGGCGGGCUCAGAUAUUUUACCUUGAGAAAAUUAGAGUGUUUCAGGCAGGCCAGGCCGGAAUACAUUAGCAUGGAAUAAUGGAAUAGGACUUUAGUCUCUUUGUUGGUUUGGGGGGACUGCAGUAAUGAUUAAUAGGGAUAGUUGGGGGGCAUUAAUA